UUUAUCCAUUCGCCGCCAUGGCCAAGAUCAAGAUUGGCAUCAAUGGUUUUGGUAGGAUUGGGUGAUUGGUCGCCAGAGUCGCGCUCCAGAGUGAGGAUGUGGAACUCGUUGCCGUCAAUGAUCCAUUCAUUACCACCGAUUACAUG